rnacentral:rRNA from 1 species
AUUGAACGCUGGCGGCAGGCCUAACACAUGCAAGUCGAGCCGAUGAAGGGAGCUUGCUCCUGGAUUCAGCGGCGGACGGGUGAGUAAUGCCUAGGAAUCUGCCUGGUAGUGGGGGAUAACGUCCGGAAACGGGCGCUAAUACCGCAUACGUCCUGAGGGAGAAAGUGGGGGAUCUUCGGACCUCACGCUAUCAGAUGAGCCUAGGUCGGAUUAGCUAGUUGGUGGGGUAAGGGCCUACCAAGGCGACGAUCCGUAACUGGUCUGAGAGGAUGAUCAGUCACACUGGAACUGAGACACGGUCCAGACUCCUACGGGAGGCAGCAGUGGGGAAUAUUGGACAAUGGGCGAAAGCCUGAUCCAGCCAUGCCGCGUGUGUGAAGAAGGUCUUCGGAUUGUAAAGCACUUUAAGUUGGGAGGAAGGGCAGUAAGUUAAUACCUUGCUGUUUUGACGUUACCAACAGAAUAAGCACCGGCUAACUUCGUG